AGAAAUAUGUCUGAUAAAAGAGUUACUUUGAUAGAGUAAAGCAUAGGGGCUACCAUCCCCUUAUUUCUA
rnacentral:tRNA from 1 species